rnacentral:rRNA from 1 species
CCUACGGGAGGCAGCAGUAAGGAAUAUUGGUCAAUGGAGGCAACUCUGAACCAGCCAUGCCGCGUGCAGGAAGACAGCCCUAUGGGUCGUAAACUGCUUUUAUACGGGAAUAAACUUUGAUUCGUGAAUCAAGCUGAAUGUACCGUAAGAAUAAGGAUCGGCUAACUCCGUGCCAGCAGCCGCGGUAAUACGGAGGAUCCAAGCGUUAUCCGGAUUUAUUGGGUUUAAAGGGAGCGUAGGCGGCCUAUUAAGUCAGGGGUGAAAGACGGUGGCUCAACCAUCGCAGUGCCUUUGAUACUGAUGGGCUUGAAUAUAGUUGAGGUAGGCGGAAUGUGACAAGUAGCGGUGAAAUGCAUAGAUAUGUCACAGAACACCGAUUGCGAAGGCAGCUUACUAAGCUAUGAUUGACGCUGAGGCUCGAAAGCGUGGGGAUCAAACAGGAUUAGAUACCCUGGUAGUCCACGCCCUAAACGAUGAUAACUCGAUGUUGGCGAUAUACAGUCAGCGUCCAAGCGAAAGCGUUAAGUUAUCACCUGGGAGUAGCCCGCAGGUGAAACGUCAAAGGAAUUGAGG